GUCUUUCACAGAGAACAAUGUUUUAAUUUUGAUGAAGUCCUAUUUAUCAAUUCUUAUUUUCUGGAUCAAGCUUUUUGGUGUCAAGAUGCAUAUCUAAGUGUUCCUGCACUACUUGAAAAGUCUACUCUUUUGUGAUUUUGUCAAAAAUCAGUUGGGCCUAUUUACGUUUUGCCACAAUGUGACCAGACCAUGAUUGCUUGGGAGAAGAUCCUGGAAUGAAUACCACCCACUAAAUGGCUGGUACUUACGAGAAAGGCCUGGGGGAAAUCAUCAGAAUGUUGAAGUAAGAGGUACUUAAAAGUUUACAGUUAAGGAAAAUAAAGUAAAGAAGGCAGAGAGAGUGGUAGCUGAGGGAGGGAGACAGGGCUGAACCAUAGCUCGUUACUCAGAAAGUGACAUCACUGUUACUUCAACAGUUUCUCUAAAUUUCCCUUACAUUAACUUCUUCUCAGGAAGUGUACGGAAAGCCGAAUGCCUAUUAGCACUGAUUUGUGGGAUCCCUCUUACUAGGUCAACACUCAACUCUUCCAUAGGAUGCCAGGCAAGCAAGCAUGAAAGCUAAGGCCUCCACUGUCACUUUUUGGGCACUGAUAACACAAAAAUGUUCAAAGAACCAAGAAAACCUCUAAAGAGAAAUCUAAACAAAACUAAAGGAUUGCUCAUAUAGGAUCAGUUGAAUAAAUUAAGGUACAUUCAUACAAGGUAAUCUUAUACUACCUAUUAAUUAUAUCAAUAAGGUCAUUUCUCAGUGUGCAUUUGGAAAAAUCACUACAAUGAAACAAAAAAGCCCAGUGCAAGACAAUAUGUGUGGCCCUCUGAAGGUAGGGAAGGAGCUCAAAUGUCAUUUUUAUUUAACCUUCAUAACCACAUAUAAUUCUACUAAUUGGUGAAGAAACCAAAGUUUGUAAGUUGUAGAGUCCAUGGUUUAAAGGAUUGCAAUUUGACUGGAGUCUUCUGAAGCAUUUGAUUGUUAAUUGCAUCCUGUCCCCUCAGUCCUGGGCAUCUGCCAUUCUCAAUUCUGUCACUACUCAAAAUGUAACCACUGGGCCAAGAGCUGCAGCAGCCACGGGCAGCUGUUUAGAAAUGCUUUCCUACCUAGAUUAUUAAACCCAGUCAUUCUUUCUGCCAAAAGUAAAGCUCUCCAUGCUGUUUUUGCGUGGAAUGCAUGGAUAAUGUUUAGCGGUCAAUGUGAAAGUCUAUAGAGUGAAAAAGAAUUUAGGAUUGCAUACUGCUUAAGACCUGCAAUUCAUUGCUGCAUGAAAGCACAUAAACCUGUGGGGACAGAAGUAAUUAAAGGUAUAAAUGUAAUAUACAAAAGAGGACUGAUCUUAAUUAAGUCAUUAUCUCAUGGCCUCUCAUUACUUCAUGGCCUAGCAUUUCUGUCCAUGCUUAUCUAUGAUGGAUAAGGACUUAAAUAAAAUCUAUUUUAGCCUGAAAAAGGACAUAAAGGUCAGGUCCCGUCCCAGACUUAAUGAAUCAGACUCUGCAAGUCAGCAAGAUCUCCCGGACAGGGUUUAGGUUUGUUUAAGUCUGAGAAGGGCUCCUGUGGGUGACGGCAACCUCAGGGGUGUUUUUAUUGCUCUAUUGUGUCAGGUUCCAGGGUUCAGGUCACUAUCAAAAACAGACACAAAGAUGAAAUAUUUCUCACGCGUCUAUGCAGAGUUUUUGAAAUGACACAGAUAAGGGUGGAAAGUGAGCUGGGAAUGACCCAAAGCGUCGCCAGGGUAUACAUACCCCCCCACAGAUGAAUAGCCGGGCGGUUUGCAGAAGGGUGAGGAAGAGAGCCAAGGCAGCACUGAGAGGGCAGCCCUGCGCCGUCAGGCCUCGGGGGCUCAGGGCUCCCUCUGUCCUGUCUCUGUGCAGCCAUGUUGCUUCAAGUGAGGUAAACAUGCCGGGCGUUGUUAUUCUCGAGUGAUAAACAAGACAGGGCCCAUGUACACAGCACACCAAACUCCCAUAGGAGGAAGGCGUUUUUAAUCCAUGAAUUACAACAAUUUGAAAGGAAAUCGAGGCCUCUGGCCAGGGACCAGACUCUAAAGAAAUAUGUUUUACCAGGACAUAAAGCCAGCCAGGGCCUUGGAAAUAAUAAAUAAGGUGCAUUCACAUCCCAAAACACAGCAAAAGGCUUCCACCCACUCUCUUUCUGUACCCCUUUGUCUGUUGAUUUGGUGAUAAAUUUGCAAUUAAAUGUUUGAUAAUGAAAGCCCAGUGCCUAAUAAAUUAAAACACUUAAUGCUUGAAUAUCCCAUUCACCAGUUUGAAUUUUAAAAAGAAAGGUUUUAAGAAGGUAAAAUUAGGAUGUAAGCUUAUGUUCUUAUUUGGCCAAAAGUCCUACUAGCAGCAAGUUGCGAUGUGGCAAAGAAAGUCCAUCAGAGCUCAGACAGACAAAGAAGUCAGAGACUAGUCUGUUGCAAGGGGCAUCGGUAUUUUUGAUGAAGUCAUGUGGGUGUAUCCAGGAGAUGGGAUGGACAAGAGCAAAAGGGAACAAGUCAUUUCUGUCUCAGUUUCAUGUUAGGGCGAUCAAUUUAUCCCAGUUGCCUGGGAUUUUCCCAGCUUUAACACCCUCAGAAAUCCCUCAGACGAGGGCAAACUGGGACAAACAGUCACCCUACUGACCAUAUACUGAGGUAAUCAGCUGGGUGCGGAAUAGCCCUGGCCAGGUCCUGAUACCCAGGGCACUCCCCGAGCUCUGGUUUGUCUAAAUCUGAAAGUCAGCCCUGCCGAGCCAAAUACUGUCUGAAGCACACCCUUUGGAGGAGAACACAGCAGGGGUGCUGCGUGAUCACAAGUCUGAUCUCAUGCCCAGUGGGUGAGUCAUGGUGGGCAAGGGCUCAAGAGACAGAAGGAAAGACCUGGAGGCACCACGCGAGACAUGAGGGUCUAUUGGGACUUAUGCACAGGGAGUCCAGGAGGCUGACUGGAUGAGAUUGUGCACUGCUGUUGUGGACAGGGAGGGAACUGUUCAUGGGGUGCAGGACACAGGCUACCUGUGUGCCAGGGGUGAGGGGACAGAGACUGCGUGCUUUGCUAGGAGAGAUCAUUCUUGUGUGACCAGCACUCCAAGGAAUGAAACCUUGAUCAGAGGAAUUGGCCUCUUAAGAACAUGUUUCCAUGGAUAAGAGGCCUGGAUUUGGCCAGCCCCAGGCCAUCAGAUACCCUGCAUGCCGCCAAAGGAGGGGGCACGUGGACACUCGGUUAUUCUGGGACAGAAGAUUACAAGCAGGCAGGGCUUGUCCCCACAAGUGUCAUUUCCCAAACAGAGGCUCACUAGUCUUUGAUGCAAACUUUUCCAACAACGGUGGUGUUUUGAAAGCCAGGCUUUUAUUUGGAGAAGGCAUCUUGGAAAAUCCUUGAAAACGCUUCCUUUAUUUUUAUUAAAGAGCCCCUGGAACAUGUCCAUGGGCUUGCAUAGUGCCCUUUUUAGUUUAGAUUGACUUCUUCCUCCUCACGCCACACUGAAACCUAAACAAAACCCAAACAUGAGCUCCUGUGCUGCAGGCGGUAUUCCGUUCAGUCUGAGCCCCUGCCGCCAGGGAACAGAUGAGCUC